rnacentral:rRNA from 1 species
AUGUCGCUGUGGACUGAGCUCGGCGAUGUGGCGACGGUGGCACAGCUGGUCGGCACAGACGUCGUCGGGCUCAUCUCAAGGAUCACGCAGGCCGCGGAGACGGCGCGGCAGAACAGGAGGGAUUGCCGGCAGCUCGCGCGUCGGGUGCUCAUAAUCUCGCGGCUGCUGCCGCUCGUGGAGGACCCGGAGGCGGCGCGGCAGAUGGCCGGGCUGGGUGACACGCUGCAGGAAGCCCACGAGCUCCUCAUGUCCUGCCAGAGGAGGAGCGCGGCGUACUGUCUUUUCAUGGCCGGCAGGAAGGCCGUGAGGUUCAGGGAGAUGCAGAACAAGAUCGACUUCUACCUUCUGCUCUUCCCCGUAACCAGCCACAUCGGCAUCGCACGCCGUCUCGACCGGAUCUACAAGCUCCUCGACACCGCCGGAGCCGGAGGUGAAUCGUCUAUGCUUCCACAGCCGUCCCAGCUGCAGCAGGAAGUAGUAGUACCGUAUGAAAUCCAUGAAUUCACGUUUGCAGAAAUCGUCGCUGCCACCGAUUAUUUCGCCCCUCACACGGAGCUCGAGCCCGCCAGCUCUGCAACGAUGUACAGGGGCAGCCUUCACGAUGGGCGUGAGGUGGCCGUCAAGCGCAUCACGGACCGCCGUGAGUACAACUUAUUACAGGAGGAGUUCCGCACGGAGCUCGACAUCCUGCCACGGCUCCAGCACAAACACAUCGUCCGCCUCCUCGGAUCAUGCGUGACUGCAAGGAAGGACAAGCAACAGAAAAAGAAGCGUCUGCUGUCCUGGUGGAGGAGAAAGGAGCCGAAAGAGCCGGAGUGGCUGGCCGUCUACGAGUACAUGGAGAACGGCACGCUCUUCCACCAUCUACACCCUGAUCAGGGCUCCUCCGAGCUGUCGUCCGUGACGGUGUCAUGGAAGGCGCGCAUCGAGGUGCUCCUCGGCGUGUCGCGCGCCAUCGAGCACAUGCACUGUCAUGCCAACCUGCCGAUCAUUCACCGGGACAUCAAGUCGCGAAACAUCCUUCUCGACGCCAACUGGGUGCCGCGUUUGUCGGACUUUGGCUUGUCCUUGGCCUGUGACAUGGCGAUGAGUGAGGAGUUCGGGAUGACUUGCCCCGUUGUGGGCACAUUUGGGUACAUCGACCCAGAGUACUUGGCCACAGGUCAUGUGAAGCCGACGAGCGACGUGUAUGCGCUGGGCAUCAUGAUGCUCGAGGUUCUGACAGGUAAAAAGGUGACUGAGGAGGACGAACAGGGGGCUAUAUAUUUGCCAUCGUUCGCAGUCCCCAUCAUUGAGGCCGGCAAUAUUAGGGGGUUGCUGGACACUCGACCCGUGCCGGAGCCAACGCCCGGGCAGCUCCGGGCGCUGGAGAACGUGGCCCAGACUGCACGAUGCUGCGUGAAGGAGUAA